rnacentral:rRNA from 1 species
GCUCGUGUCGUGAGAUGUUCGGUUAAGUCCGUUAACGAGCGCAACCCUUAUCGUUAGUUGCCAUCAUUAAGUUGGGAACCCUAGCGAGACUGCCGUAGUUAAUACGGAGGAAGGUGGGGAUGAGGUCAAGUCAUCAUGCCUCUUACGCCUUGGGCUACACACGUGCUACAAUGGCUACUACAAAGAGCUGCAAUAUAGUAAUAUGGAGCGAAUCUCAAAAAAGUAGUCUCAAUUCGGAUUGUGGGCUGCAACCCGCCCACAUGAAAUCGGAGUUGCUAGUAAUGGCGAAUCAGCAUGUCGCCGUGAAUGCGUUCCCGGGUCUUGUACACACCGCCCGCCAAGCUAUGAGAGCUGAGGGCACCCAAAACCGCUGUGCCGACCGCAAGGAAGCAAGCGUCUAAGGUGAAAUCGGUGAUUGGAGUUAAGGCGUAACAAGGUAGCUGUAGGAGAACCUGCGGCUGGAUCACCUCCUUU